rnacentral:snRNA from 1 species
AUUGCUUCUUGGCUUUUUGGCUAACAUCAAAUAUCGUGUCUGUUCUUAUCAGUUUAAUAACUGAUACAACUUCUACCUGAGGACAAUAUAUUAAAUGGAUUUUUGGAGUAAGGAGAUGGAAUAGGAGCUUUCUCCGCAUGUUCCAUGCAUUGACCUGGUAUUUCAGUACCUCCAGGAAUGGUGCACCACAC